UAGCAGAUGCUUUGUUGACUCAGAUGAAUAGUGUGGUUCACUAAUUCGUCUUUGCUCUAUGACUCACCAGAGACCGACAAACGAACGAUGCAGUCGGUGAACUUAAUUUCGUGCCCCAUACAGCUAUAUAUAUAUAUAUAUGUGUGUGUGUGUGUGUGUCUGUAUCGCAUUAAGUUUUAGCAGGCCUGCAGAGAUGAUAAGUGAGAUGAAAUCUGCAGUCUCUCUCUCACAGCUUGUCGUCGUUCUCCUUCUGCUAAUAUCCUCUCAAUCUCUUCCAAGCUGCGCCCAUGCAACUGCCCACCUGAAUAAUCCUACCAGGGUUCUUGGCGGCCAGCAAAUCCGGAUGCAGCAGCAGCAGCAGGAACCAGAAGCAGCUGCAAAUAAUUACGAUUUGACUAGUCGGAAGCUUGGGAUUCACAUGAAGAUAAUACGUAGGCCGACUCCCAAAGUUCCACGUGUCAAAUCAUCAUCAUCCCCAAUUUCAACUCAGAUGCCUUCUCUUGCUUUGGGUUUAUCCCUUUGCCUCUUCUUCUUUCUACUGUUUUAGGUAGUGGAUAUAUAUAUAUUGUUUGUGUCUGUAUUUGCCUACUCUCAUCAAACCAAUAUAUAGAAUUUACAAAUAUUAUUGUGUUGUCAUUACCUAGCUAUGUAAAACAUAUCAGCGUUUGAUUUCCUGGGUAGACUCAAUAGAACAGUAAGAACACACACAGAGAACAGAGUUUUCUAAGAUUUCAAUGUAUUCAGCUUGCUCUCUAAGCAAGGAGCUCAAAGAGCAUGUUUUACCGUUGGAGGAGUGAGAAACAACUUCACUCUCUCACAACAUUACAAAAACAUCACAACCAUUCAUUUCUAAGCCAUCAUGUAAGAUGCUUACACUUGUCAUGAGAUAUGACUCGUUACAAUCUAAUCUAGAUACCAUAUGGAAUAUGAUCCAAUGGCUUACAUUAAAAAACCUGCACAAUGCUUAUAAUAAACCUAACACAGCAAAUACAUUUAUACACCAAUAAAACAUGUAUACACUUGGAUUGAAAAGAAAUGAAGCUGUAUGCAAGCAUUGUGAUCGCGAGCGUUAUAUCGAGCUGUAUGCGAGCAGCAUCAUAGAAGGCAAACAAAUGAGGCGGUUUCGUUGCAUGGCCUUACGUUAAUUGGUGGUGGUGGGGGUGGUGCUUCAUCCAUCAGGAAAAUACGGUGCCGGGAAUUUCUAUUUCGUCUAUGUCAGCUGCUGCAGCUGCAAUCUCAAUUUCUCUUAAUGUCUGCCUCGCCAUCCUACCGGCUGUGUUAAUCUUCAUUCUUUGUUCAUUCUUUCCAUUGUGAUGUAUAUUAUGUAUAUGCUCUUGAUAUCACACAACUUCAUGUUCCUGAUGUUGAUGACGAUCAUACGACGUAUGUAUAUACCAGGAAAAAUUAUUGUAUGGUACCGCAAGCAUUUCUAUCGUUGAUAUAUUUAUGUUGAGGGUUAAUUUGGUUUUCAGAUAUAUUGGAUCGGAAUUAAUGGAUGAAAAAUGUUCAGAAAUUUUAAAAUUUCAAAAGACAUUAUAAAUAUUGGGUGAGAAAAGCAAAAGGCAUGUGUAUUUUUGAGAUUCAGAAUAGAUUUGCAGACUUGGAACAAGAGAUGAAUUUCCAUAUAUACCUAGUUAUUUUUCCUCUUUUAGAUACUAUCCACCAUAUACUACACUAAAGUAACUCAUUUUGUUACUUGCUUUAUUCUUUUCAUCGAAUCACCUUAACUUUUAUCACCUGCUUUAUUCUUUUCAUCGAAUCACCUUAACUUUUAUCACCGGUGAUGAUAGAGAAAUCAAAUUUUUAGAUCAAAUUUUAUAGACUAUAGGAUUAGUAAUUCUUUUUUAAAAAUCGAAUAGAUUUGGUCUUAUACAUACGCGAAAAAGGUAAUAAAAAAAAAAGAUGAGUUCUUCUUUCUUUUAUCAUUUUUGGAGCCAUGUGAGAUGAAAUUCUCAUGCACAGUUUUGAAUGAGAGAAAAAAGUGAGGAAUCCUCUUUUCAUUGAGCAUUUAGAUACAAUCAAUAGAAAUCCAGAAGGGCGCCAUAUUCUAGGAGCCCAAAUCCUUCUAAAGAAGGAAUUCAACCAUCAAUCACCACAUCUUGCGUCAUCAUACUAUGCGUGAUUAUAAAUAUGGUCUAAAAAAUGGUCUCUCUAACAUCUUCCUACUUACUAAGUUGUAGCCAGAAACAUUAUGAAUAAGCUCUCCAAGGAAAAGAUAAUAGAGGUAUCACAUUCUCUUCUAUCCUUUGUUUCCUCUCAAAGAGAUUUGGUCGACAAAGGUCUCUAGCUAAUUUAUUCUUUUUCAUCUAACCAUAGCACAAAGGAAGAUUCGAACUUAAAUAUCUUUUAACAUUAUUGAGGUUUGUCGCUAACUAAGAGGUAGUUAUGUCAAAAACACAACUUGAUCGAUCACAGCCACCAUCAAACCGCAAAUCCCUCUACCCAAUAGUGUUAUCCACACUCAUUUUUAUCUCUGACAUACCUCUCUCAAUUUCUAGCCAUCGAAUCAAAUAAAUUAAAAAUAUCAGUGGACCAAAAUUUAACAAGAAAGUGAAAAAUCAAAAGAAAAGUGUGAAUCGCGCUACCCUACGUAAAAUUAACCAAGUACUGCCAUGCAAAACCACACGCAUACACAUGCAUGUGCCUGCGGCAGGUUCGUUUUACUACAAUUAACAAGAAUCUUUACUUUAUCCAAAAGCCAUGAAAACCCUAAUCAACUUUUUUAAUGCUUUCACUUUUCUCGUUAGCUUUAUGCUUAAUUAGUGCUAAUUACACUUAGCAACAUAAGUCUAUUUAAGCGUGUCCCUCUUCUUCAUCAACCACUUUUGAAAAAUUAGUUACUAGUAUUAGGUUAUUAGAAAACCUAAUAUUUGAGAGAAGAUGAGAAGAGAAUUACUAAUAUUGUCCUUUUUUAUUCUCUCUGUGGUUGUUCAUUCUGCAUGUGAAACCACUUCCAACCCUAAAACCGGAGAUUAUACGCCUCUGAAGAAGCAGCAUGAUUACCUUAAGCUUAAGGGUAAGCUCACAAAUUCUCUCGACAGAUCGAGGAAUAUUACUGAUUUCCUACGUUCUUUUUCGCUAAUUUUAUCGAUGUUAUAAGCUCCGCAGAUGUAUAUGAUACGAUGAACAAAUCAAGCACAAAAGGCCAUCAAAGAAUGCAUGAAGUUCAGCAUCUAAGGAUUUCCCAGAAACUGAAGGCAAAGCCAACCUCCGGUGGCGCCUCCGACCUUAGUCGCACCCGUCCCAGCAAGGGUGUAGCAAGCUCUGUACUAGCUAAACCCCCCAAUUCUUCCUCUUCGCAGUGUUCAGGCAUGUUGCUGUUGGACUGAUCAUCUUUGCUCUGUAUUAAUCGCUUGAGGUAAUUUUGCACACGUUAUUUAGGACGCGAUGGAUGUGGAAGUUUUGCGAUGAAACUUUCGCUGUUAAACCCGUGUUUAAACCCGUUUCUCAAACCUGAUUCUUAUGUAAUUGUAAAUUAGAAUAUCUACUUAUUGCAUUAUUUGACAUUUCUUCCCAUCUUCCCCUGUUCUUUGCCAAAGCAUAUGCUGUUGGGUUACUGUCAUGCCACGCAAAACACUAUGGUCGACGAGGUGUAAACAAUAUAAGCAUGGCGAUGUCUAAACAAAAGCAGAAACAUGAUUUGUAUAUGCCGUGAAAGUGUGAUACUAAAUACAAAGAGAAAAGUAUUCAUACAUGGUUUAUUUGGUCUUAUCAAAUUCAAAGCCAUCACCGCGAGCGACCGCUGCCUUAUAAUAAUAUAUGACAAAAUUAGGAUCAUCUAUCAUAUUAUCUUCAAUUUAUAAAAAGAAGGAAGCUUCAAUAGUUCAAAAUACUUCAACUUUGGUGUCCUCCUACUCCUUUAGUUAAUCAUAUAUUAUGUAUGAUUAUCCAUAUUUAGUAACAAAGUAUGUUAACUCAGAUGAAAAGUGUGGUUAACCUAUUCGUCUUUUGCUCUAUGACUCACCAAUGGACCUACAGUCGAUGCAGUCCGUUGAACUUUCGCGUCCCCCAUAUAUAUGUAAUUGUCUCUGUAGAUUGCAUUAACUUUAGCAGGCCUGCAGAGAUGAUAAGUGAGAUGAAAUCUGCAGUCUCUCUCUCACAGCUCGUCGUCGUUCUCCUUCUAGUACUAGUAGUAUCCUCUCAAUCUCUUUCAAGCUCCGCCCGUGCAACUGCCCACCUGAAUAAUCCUACCAGGGUUCUUGGCGGCCAGCAAAUCCGGAUGCAGCAGCAAGAACCAGAAGCAGCAGCAAAUAAUUACGAUUUUACUAGUCGGAAGCUUGGGAUUCACAUGGAAGAUAUAUAGUACGUAGGCCGACUCCUAAAGUGCCACAUACCAAAUCAUCAUCAUCCUCAAUUUCAACUCAGAUGCCUUCUCUUGUUUUGGGUUUAUCCCUUUUGCCUUUUCUUCUUUCUACUGUUUUAGGUAGUGGGUAAUAUAUAUAUAUAUAUAUAUAUAUGUGUGUGUGUAUUUAUCAGGAUUGUCUGUGUCCAGUGGCGAAAUCAGGAUUGGCCAAGGGAAGGGGCGAAAUUCAAAAGAAUGUAAGGUUCGAUUGAAGAGGUUGCUUUCAUAUUGGAGAGUGCAAAGUGUUGAGUCAAUAUUCAUAGCAUAAAAUAGUCUCUCCACAAAAAUGGUUGUAAGUAAUAUUAUCAAAACCAAUGUAAGAAGCUUAAAUUAGCUAGGAUUAGAUCCUAAAAAAUGUUAGGCACUAGUCAAACAACGGACUGGGACCUAGCAGCUUGAUGCCUAGGCAAGAUCUAGGUAGGAGUCUAAAUUGAUUUAAAUUAUCAUAAAAUAAGCAUUAAACAAUAUUUAUAUUGUUUUUAAAAAGUAAUACAAUAUUUAUCAAUAAUGUAAGAGUUUAAAAUAAAUACGGUGGAAGUCUUAAAAAGAAAAUAAAAAUACAUAU
rnacentral:lncRNA from 1 species